rnacentral:tRNA from 1 species
AAUAAAGCUUAAAGKUUGGCCUUUCCUUUWCCCCGGAAAAGGUUUCUGUGCAAUUCAGAUUAUUUUGAAAG